AUAGCUUUCACAGAUUGGCUUAUCUAUUGGUCCAUGAAAAGGUCCUUUAGCCCUGCCCACUCCUGGAGUUGUAGUGCAUCAUCCACCUGUCUGUCUGAGAAUCGUAUAAAAUAUAAAACCUUAAAAAGCACAGUAUCGUUCCACUGAACACAGCCGGAGUCACGACUGUCACCCUGCCGCUACUGCCACUCGCUGAUCUCACAUCGUUAAACAGUUCUUUACUGCUGAGUUCAGAUCGGUCUCUUCGUUAGAAUUCAUUUUACUAAGACCAAAGACAGCGACAAAGUGAGUGUGAGUGUGUUUGUGUGUGUGUGAGUCCGUGUGAGAAAUCUGUGAUGAAAGUCUCAGAGUGUGAGCGCUGCUACGACGCUCGUCUAAAAUCCACCAAAAGGACGACGGCAAACUCGCGGCACAGCUACAGAUACAGUAGCGGCGACGGAGAAGCGUGAAGGAACAGAUAAAAUCUCAUUCCCUCGAGAUCACUGUGAAGAACUUGUGUGUGUGUGUGUGUGUGUGUGUGUGUAUGUUUUACGCGAAGCUGUUUUCUGCUGGAGCUGAUUUCCGGAUCACGCUGAUUGAUGACGUGAGCAGAACGUAGUUGUGUUCUUUAAUCGCAGGUCUAUCGUCAGAGGAUCUUCAGCGAGAACACGCGCUGUCACACAGACUUACACAAUUCACACCAGUUUACUGUACAGGAUCUCACAGCGUGACGAGGAAACAUCUUAAAUAAUCACGUGACCCGCCCUGAGUAGCGCGUGAAUGAUGGUUAUUACAGGAGUUCAUUAUUAAUGACUGUUUAAAUCCGUGUUUGUAAACAUUAAACCUCGCGCACCAUCCUCCGACCGACCCUGUGUGUGUGUGUGUGUGUGUGUGUGUGUGUGUGUGUGUGUGUGUGUGUGUGUGUGGGGGGCUCGCGCGUGCUGCUCUCAUGCGGACAGAACACGCAUGCGGCAGUCGGAGCGCGCGCGUCUCUGCAGUGCCGCCGUAAUUUCACGUCACAUCAAGUUUAAUAAGCGCUGUUCUCUCCGCGCGCGAGCCGCACCGGGGGCUCCGUCCGGUACCGGGACUGUUGCUUCCUCUCUCUCUCACUUUAUCUUCCUCGGUUUUAUUUUUCUCUCCAGCAGAGGGAUCGGAGGAAAGCAGCCUGUCUCUCUCUCCGGCACGCGCUCAGCGCCUCUCCGCGUCCGCGUGCACAUCUGGAGUCCGGCUCGCGCUGCUGUGCUCCGGGCAGCGUGUUCAUGCAGCGGCCGUGUGUGUGAGGCGCGCGCGCUGAGAGGAGAGAGGGAGAGAGGGAGAGAGAGAAGAGGAGGAGAGGAGAAUGAGGAGGUUUAUAGAAGGUCGGGGAGAGAAAAUGGGGCAGCGCGUGCUCGCUUUUCUCCUGUUAUUACCGUGGCUGGUGUACGACUCGCGCGCAGGAUUUCCCAACCAGAUCAGCAUCGGUGGUGUGUUUCUGCGCUCCACCGUUCAGGAGCACAGUGUGUUCCGGUUUGCUGUUCAGCUCUAUAACACCAACCAGAAUGUGACGGAGAAACCGUUUCACCUGCACUACAAUGUGGACAACCUGGAGCAGAGCGACAGCUUCUCCGUCACACACGCCUUUUGUUCUCAGUUCUCACGGGGUGUGUAUGCCAUAUUCGGUUUUUAUGAUCAACGCUCGGUGAACACACUCUUGUCAUUUUCUGGGGCUCUGCACACCUCCUUCAUCACUCCAUCACAGCCCGCUGAGGCCGACACACAUUUCCUGCUCCAGCUGAGACCCGCCCUUAAAGGGGUGGUGCUUAGCAUGAUCAUACACUACAAAUGGGACAGGUUUGUCUACCUGUAUGACACAGAUAGAGGGUUCUCUCUGCUGCAGUCAGUAAUGGAAGCUGCAGUAGUGAAUGAUUGGCGGGUGACGGUCCGCUCCGUCGGGAACGUUGCUGAUGUUCUGGAAUAUCGGCGGAUAAUUGAGGAAAUGGAACGUCGUCAGGAGAAACUCUUCGUCAUCGACUGUGAAGAGGAGCGCAUCAACGCUGUGCUGGAGCAGGUUGUGGCCUCGGGGAAAAACAGUCGAGGAUAUCACUACAUCCUGGCUAAUCUGGGUUUCUCCAAUGCAAGUAUAGAGAAGGUUUUCUCCGGCGGUGCGAACGUCACUGCGUUUCACAUCAUCAACCCACAAAACCCCAUCGUACAGCAGUUCCUCCAGCGCUGGGACAAACUGGACGAGAGAGAGUUCCCUCAGGCUCGGGACACACCGCUCAGAUACACCUCUGCACUGACCCACGAUGCCGUGUUGGUGAUAUCAGAGGCGUUUCGGUAUUUGCGUCGUCAGCGUGUGGAUGUUUCUCGCCGUGGCAGCGCCGGAGACUGUUUAGCAAAUCCAGCUGUUCCCUGGAGUCAGGGCAUCGACAUCGAGAGAGCACUGAAGAUGGUCCAGGUUCAGGGAAUGACAGGAAAUGUCCAGUUCGAUUCUUUCGGUCGCCGUACGAACUUCACCAUCGAUGUUUACGAGAUGAAACCUGGUGGAGCGAGAAAGAUCGGUUACUGGAGUGAAUUUGAGAAGUUUGUUUACGUAACAGAGCUGCAGGUGACGAAUGAAACGUCUUCAGUGGAAAACCGUACGAUUGUCGUCACCACCAUCAUGGAAGCUCCGUAUGUGAUGUAUAAGAGAAAUUACAUGCAGCUGGAGGGAAACGAUCGAUACGAAGGCUACUGCGUGGACUUAGCCUCCGAAAUCGCCAAACAUGUCGGAAUUAAGUACAAAUUGUCCAUCGUAGCUGACGGGAAAUACGGAGCACGAGAUCCUGAGACUAAAACCUGGAACGGGAUGGUGGGAGAGCUGGUGUACGGGAGGGCGGAUAUCGCCGUGGCUCCUCUGACCAUCACGCUGGUGCGCGAGGAGGUGAUCGACUUCUCCAAACCCUUCAUGAGUCUCGGAAUCUCCAUCAUGAUAAAGAAGCCGCAGAAGUCGAAGCCUGGUGUGUUCUCGUUCCUCGACCCGCUGGCGUACGAGAUCUGGAUGUGCAUCGUGUUCGCUUACAUCGGCGUGAGCGUCGUGCUCUUCCUCGUCAGCCGAUUCAGUCCGUACGAGUGGAACAUCAGCAACGGCGACGAGGCGAAGGAUCCGCAGGCUCCGCCCGAUCCGCCCAACGACUUCGGCAUUUUUAACAGUCUGUGGUUUUCCCUCGGAGCCUUCAUGCAGCAAGGAUGCGAUAUCUCGCCAAGGUCUCUGUCAGGUCGUAUAGUGGGAGGAGUGUGGUGGUUCUUCACGUUGAUCAUCAUCUCGUCCUACACGGCUAACCUGGCGGCAUUCCUCACCGUGGAGCGGAUGGUGUCUCCCAUCGAGAGCGCUGAAGAUCUGGCCAAGCAGACGGAGAUCGCGUACGGAACGCUGGACUCCGGUUCCACUAAAGAGUUCUUCAGACGCUCUAAGAUAGCGGUGUUUGAGAAGAUGUGGUCGUACAUGAAGUCGGCCGAGCCGUCGGUGUUUGUGAAGACGACUCCGGAUGGCGUGGCUCGCGUCAGGAAGUCGAAGGGGAAGUUUGCGUUUCUGCUCGAGUCCACGAUGAACGAGUACAUCGAACAACGCAAACCGUGUGACACCAUGAAGGUCGGCGGAAACCUCGACUCCAAGGGCUACGGAGUCGCCACGCCCAAGGGCUCGGCAUUAAGAAGUGCUGUGAACCUGGCUGUGUUAAAGCUGAACGAGCAGGGCCUGCUGGACAAGCUGAAAAACAAGUGGUGGUACGACAAGGGGGAGUGUGGCAGCGGGGGAGGGGACUCCAAGGUCAGCCAACAAACAAACAAACAAACAAACAAACAAAUUAACAAGGCUGGAGAGAGUAAUCGGCAAGGCUGUGACCUCUGACCCCAGCAACAGUAACCAUGCUAGCAGGCGACAAUAACAGCCUGUUGUUGUUGUUGUUGUUAUUAUUAUUAUUAUUGAGUAGAUAGAGAUCACAGUGAACCCUUUAAUUAGCAAGGAUAGAGAGCAGUGAUUAGCGUGUAGCGUGUAGCAUGUAGCGUGUGCUUGGCAUGUAGUUAGCGUGUUGCCGUGUAGUUGUGAAAGGUGGUGUAAGAGUUUUUCAGCUGCUUUUUAUGUCUCCAUGGCAACAAGGGGAAGUUUAUUAUUAAUUAUUUCAGAAUGAUUGAUUUAAUAUUAAUGUGUGUGUGCUGAAGCUGCCACUCAAUGCUGUCCACUAUUGGUGUGAAAGGUCAAAGGUCAGGGGUGAAGGUCAGGGACAGCAGGGCGAACAGUGAAGUCUUGAGAGGACGAAGCAUCACAGGCACCCGUGAGAAGUCUAAUGAAGAAUUUCCCACAAUCCCUCACUCAGUCACAUGACAUUGAGGUUCAUUUCUGAUUCUUACGCGUCCUCAUCGACUUCCCCCACUGAGCCUGGAGGUGUGUCUGUGUGUGUGUGUGUGUGUGUGUGUGUGCGUGUGUGUGUGUGUGUGUGUGUGUGUGUGCGUGUGUGUGUGUGCGCGUGUGUGCGUGUGUGUGCGUGUGUGUGUGUCCUACAAAAAUGUCCCAAUUGCCAGAGUUUCUGUGUAGUUAGUAAAAUGUCGACUAAAACGUCGCAAAAAACUUUUAGGACACAGCCAUUGAGGCACUCGCUCCUGUUUUACACGUCAGCUGCCAUUUUGAAAAGUGCAGCAGUGCAUUCUGGGUAAGUGGAACCCUACAGCAGGGCUGUCAACUAACAAACCUGACUCGAGCUGUACAGUAGUGAUCAAGGGGAAGUGGACGAGGGCGCAUUAAAGCCAGGAAUGAAACAUAGGAAACUAUUACAACACACACGCACACACACACACACACGCACACACACACACACACGCACACACACACACACGCCCUGCACUCAGCCACUCUCGUGCAGUGAUGCAGCCUGUGUCUCGUCUCUGAUUGGCUCUCAUGAUUCCACUCGUCUUUGAUUGGUUCUCUGAAUCCCCAAAUCCAGUGGAGAAUCCAAUAUGGCUGCCGGAUCUGUGCGAAGAGCAGCUGAGCAUGCUGGGUAAGAGGGUAUGUAGUCCGUUAUGACAUCAGGACUGCAUGUUUCUCAUUUAUUGACCUGCCUGUAGCCCUGCAAUGCAUGAUGGGAGUAAUUCAACUACAUACAGCAAAUAUACUGCAUGGAAUAAAAAAAAACAAACAUCAGAGAAAUGUGUAAAAGAUGAAACACAAUUCUAAUGUUAACGUUAACGCAGAGAGAAAAUGACACACAAUAAAUCGCAGCUCUCCUACAGCGCCUCCUGUUUCACCUGAAAAUGUUUUGAAGCAUCGUACGGGUAAGAAACUAAAUACUGUUCGUUCUUUCAGCUGUUGCUAUGGAAACUAAUAACAUGUUAUGUGUUGCCUAAACAGGUUGUUUGAUUUGCAGUGACUUUGAAGCUACAGUGUGUUUGUUAGAGUUGUGAUUUAAAGCAGCGGUGUGUAUCUGUAACUUUGGGUGUUUUUGGAGACCCCUGUGGCAGAAAUGUGUUACUGCGACUCCUCAUUCUUCUCCUCAGUGUUACAGAAAAGUCACAUUUAAAACUUUAUUACGUACGUUAACGUGACACAAACCCAGCACUGAGUGACACAUUCAUCCUUUAGAGAAACUGUGAGAAAAGCAGCUAGCUGUAGUCAUGAUGAAAGUUUUUGACACAUUCUCAUGCUAAAGAAGAAGUUAUUCAGUUAUACGUCACAAUAUUAAACACGUGACGUGAAAUAAUCGUCACCUUCCUCAUGUUGUAUUUUGUUAAAGCUGAGUGUGGUGUAUUUGCUGUUGUUGAAUUACAAACCGUCGUCAUUUAACAGAAAGGAAAUAAACUGAGUCACUCAGCAGCCCUGUUUAUGACAUAAUCAACGUCUUACCAACUAAACACACCCUACAGAAACAUCGCAUCAUCACCCCGCGACAGGAAGUGCCUGCAAAACCGCAAGUGGAGAUUUAGCGGCAAGGUUGCUAAUCAUGAGGCGCAGACAGACUUAGCGCACUUUCACAUACGAAACCAUGUAAUGACAAAUUACAAAAUUUUCCAUUUUAACUAAAGUUUCUGUUGUUUUUAAAAUAUUCAGAAUCAGCAUUACUGUAUUUUCACUGCAGAGUUGCAUUUAUAGCAUUUAGCUUCCUCAGUUAGCAUGUGUUUUUAAGUGUGUCACUUUUGUGAUUUAGCAUUUAGCUCUUGAGUCUUUGUUGUUAGCAUUACAGUUGUUAACAUUUAUCCUGUGCUGGUUGUCUUUGCAUUUAUCCUUCAUCCUUCAACUUUUGUAGUUUAUUUCUUGCAUUUAUCCUUUGUGGUUAAUGUUUAGCAGAUUUUGUUAGCGUUUAGCCUUUGCGGUUAGCGCUUCUGCUUGAAGAUAAUGGUUUCGUCUGUGAAAGUGUCUCUAAAUUCACUGAUCUCACUCAUUGUGUAAGUUUAUUUAUUAGGGGUCCAAGCACCAAAAGGUCUGAUUUACCUGGCCUUGGCCGUGCACAACUUCCUGUUUUGGUGGAAUUAACGAUGUUGUUUUAUUUUAACUCCAUUUGCAUCUCCAACACUGUCGCUUUACACCGAACCCACUGCGCGGCUCAGUAUUGGUGCUUGGCCCCAGACAUCGCUGUGUGGAGUUAUAUGUCUUGUGAAGUUUGUGUUGUGUUUCUGCCUGUAGGGUGUGUUUGAGUUUGUAACGCGUCCGGCCAGAACCCUCUCCUUCACUGAAUGUUGGUUCCUGUCAGCUAAUAAAGGGUUCUAGAUCCAGAGGUUCUCAUGAAAACGCUGCACUUUGUCCUGUAAUAAUAAUAACAACGACAAUCAGUGAUGUUUAUCUCUCCAGUUCUCUCAGUGUGUCUCCGCUGGAACAGUGAGUGCCGAUUACUCAAAGCCUUUACAGUAGGUCCUGGUACUGUAGGUCAAAGGUCAAAGGUAAUGCCAAUGCUAGCCCUGCUUGCUUGCCAACAUCCUGCUACUCUUUCUUUUUUCUUGCUCCUGAUAUUUAUGCUUUGAGAUAGUGCUUUGAGAUAUGAUAGUGCACUAUGUAGAGAACAGUUCAGAAAAAUAAUCUGUGUAUUUAAAACCUUUAUUAUCGUCUCACUUGUCCUCAGUCGGGUCAGUGCCGGGUCAGUGCCGGGUCAGUGCCGGGUCAGUGCCGGGUCAGUGCCGGGUCAGUGCACGCAACAUCACCACUACAUUCGGCUUUAAUUAAACAAUUUAGUAGUUUAGCAACAUUAGCUAAUCUAGUCAGCUAUUUAAAUGUAGCUCUGAGCUAAUGUAAAGAAGCUAAUUAGUUAGCUAAAGCUAACGUUAAUGUUGUUUCUCCAGUUUUUCUAGAAAAGUAGCUGAUGUUAGGAAAAUAAUUUUUUGCUAACUUUUAAAUAAACGGUUGUGGUGAUGUCAUGAUCAUGCAUGUGAUUGGCCGAUCAAAUCUAAUUUAAGCUCCUGGACCUGCCGCAGUUCACUGUUUGGAUGAUGUUUGUUGCAAUGCAUUGUGGGAAUCCAGAGGUUUACCAGAUGUUCUUCACAAAGGUCUAAACAAAAUGUUCCCAAAUAGUGCACUAUAUUGUUCAGAGGGUCAAAGGUCACGGUAACACCAGUCUGCUUGCUGCCUCUUGUUCUCUCUCUCUCUCUCUCUCUCUCUCUCUCGCUGGAUGAAUGGAGAGCGGGAGGUUCGUUCAGUGUCACUUUACAGGUUUAAGGAGAUGUUGAGUGUGGGUGUGAUGAAUUAACGGGCCACUGCUCUGGUGUUAUUUAUGUUAUUUCCCUCGUGAAGAACUCCUGUAAACCUUGCAGUAUUGAAACUCAGUGAACAAGGCAUCUUAGACAAGCUGAAAAACAAGUGGUGGUACGAUAAAGGGGAGUGUGGGACCAAGGACUCGGGCAGUAAGGAUAAGACGAGUGCGCUGAG